CUCCUCGGCCGCCCGUGGGCUUGAUUUUUUUUCAGGCGCCGCCAUCUCCCUGGCCGAUCUCCCACAACUUGCCUCCCCUCCGCUCGCAGCGCCCAUGGCCGAGCUCGCCCUUGCGCACUUCUCUGCUCGCCGGCGAUUCCUCCCGAGCUCCCCGCCAUGGCAUCUCCAGCUCGUCUCUCUCUUCUUCAAUCCCCAUGCUGACCCUCUCUCUCUCCCUGCUCGUCGGCCACCUGGGAGGUUCGCGCCCAUGGCGGCUCCCAUGGCGCGCCCAGCCGCUCCUCCCCAGCGUCCCUCGCCGAGCACCCUCUGCCCCAGCUCGUGUUGCUCCCUCCCAUGGAGGCUGAGCUCUCUGGCUCGGUCCUGCUCGUCCCAGCGCGCCGUGAUCUUCCCCAAGCUCCCAGUGUUGCGCCCCCGCAGCUCGCGGAGUUCCCAUGGCGCUCAGCCCCUGCUGCAGCUCGCGCUCUGCUCCUCCGGCACCGCGGCUUCCAGCGCUCGGCUCCUUCCUCUCUGCUUCUCCCUCAACCGCGCCAGGCCGCCCGUCUCCCCGUGCGCUCGCUCCAGCUCGGUUCCGAGCUCCUUUCUCUCCUGCGCGUCCCUGUUUUUCCCUCUCCCUACGCGCGCUGCUCCUCUUCUUUUGCCGCGUGCCCAGCUCGCCCAGUCUGCGCGUCGAGCUUCCUCGUCGCGGCUUCCUGCUUACUCGUCAGCGCGUCUCUCUCUCUGGUCUCUUAUGUCGCGCUCGCCCAAAUCACCGCCGUUGAGUUUCCUGUCGAGGUCGUCUGUUGUGUGCGUGAAGUUCUCUACUCGCCCCACGGCGCGUCGAACUCCCGCACCGAAUCCGUUUCUAGCUCGCCGCGACGCCCGGCGUCCUGCCUGCUUUGCUCACCCACGUCGGCUACUCGCUAGUGCUCCAACUCGUCAGCCAUUGUUGCCUUGUCGCAGAACCCCCAAUGCCGUCGACCUCGCUUGGCCCUAUAUCAGUAGGCUAGUCGAUCAUAGUUGCUGCCGCGCGCUUGUCCCUGAUGCCCAUCACGUGGUAUUUGGAUCUCGCCGAUUGGAUCUCGCCGAUUGGUCGCUCUGGCCCGCCGUUAAUUUCGCUUCGCAGCUCGCUUGCUGUUGUGGUGCUGCUAUCCCGCGACACUCGUGCCGAUGCAUCGUUGCCUGGUCGGGAGUUGUCGCCACUAGUUCGCUUUCGUCCAAAUUGCCAGCGUGGAUGCUUAGGUCUCUGGUCACGCGUCUUUCUAUCUCUCGCGCGUGAUUUUGAAGCUCUGCGCGUUUGUCGUCCUCUUGUCCCAGCCCGAGCCCAUCCGUGCGCUCGCUCUUCGUCCAUCGAGCUUCGCGCGUGCUCGUGUUUGCCGUCGAGCUAUUGAACCCGUCCUCCCUUGCUCGUGACUUCGUCAUCGCCUGAGCUCGCGCUAACCUGCUCAACCCCACCUCGCCAGCUCGCUCCUCAUCCAUCGGGUUUCGGCGUGUUCGUGUUUAUCGUCGAGUCGUCGAACCCAUCAUCCCCUGCUCGACCCCCACCUCACCAGCUCGCUCCAGAUUUCAAUCGAAGGUCGUCAUCGUUCUGUGUGUUGUCAAGAAUCCCAAGCGUAAGGUGAAGACGAAGCUAGCAGUGUGAUAUUCACCAAGUGCUCGACAAAAUGCUUGAACAAGUCGUCGAUCGUCAUCCUCAUCUACGCCAAGAUCCAAGAAGAUUAGGCGCAGAAGGAAAUAAAUCAGUACAUGGCCGGAGAAUUCUCGAUGUGGAUGAAGAUGAAGCGCGAUUCGACGCAGCACUCACCCUAUUUUCGGUGAAAUGCUGAGCUGAAAGGCGUCGUCGAUUUCAUGGUUUCAAGUCGGAUGUCAUAAGGGUACGUUAAUUAAUCACGUGAUGCGGAAGACGAGCCAAGUCGACCCCAAGCGUGGGCUAAUCCGCAAGAUAAUGCUGAUGGAUGAACCUGCCUGAUCAAGUGCUAGGACAAGGAUGAUUGUCAAGUGGUCGCCACUUAACAAACACUAACCUAGUGUUAUUCAGGUUUUAACUUUGUGCUGCUGUUGAUGGUGUUAAGUGUCGGUGGGCUCGGCCUUCUUAUAAGUCUAAGUUUAGUUUUGUGCUGCUGAUGAUGGUGUUUAAGUGCCGGUGGGCUCGGCCUUCUUAUAAGUCUAAGUAAUUCUUUUAUACUUCUUAUUGAGGAUGGUCACUUGAGCUAGCAUAUAUAUUUCAAACUUAUACUUUUGUAAUCACUCCGAUAAAUAUAAUGUAAAAACUUGAUGAUUAAAUUUCUGCUGCAAAAAUAUUGGUGUGUGUGAUUUGUGUUACUUAAUCCCGCUGUUCUGG
rnacentral:misc_RNA from 1 species